rnacentral:sRNA from 1 species
CUCUCACAUUAACUUUACUAAUGGAUCCGUCAGUCUCUACUCCCACUAUGUUCCUUCCUGCCUCUCAUGCUGUGAGCAGCUUUCAUCCUGGGUCCCUUCUACCAGGAUGUUCUGCUUCAACCACAGGCCCAGAAGUAUGAACCCAUCUGACAUAGCAUGAAAUCUCUGAAAGUGUGGGUCAAAACAAGGCUUUCCUCUCUCACAUUGACUUUCUUGGGCAUUUUGUCGCAGAGGAACAGGGGUGUACUAACACAUUCCUGGGUUCUGGGGGCAGGGGGAACAAAACUCUGAACUAAGCAGAGAAAAGGAGGAAAACUGUUUUUCCACUAGACUGAAGGGUGACUUUUAACAAGUCACAGCACCACUGGAGACAUCCACACGUUACUAUCGCCAUUAAUGUUAGAGAGAAAGAAUUAGGUCUUUAAUAAAGGCCGAGUCACACAGUGAAGACAUUCAUAGCUCAAGUUACUUGGUAAACAAUAUAUUAAGCCUCGGGCUUCUCUCUUUCUGGUUUUACAGGUGUGUGCUAGGCAGUUAAGCAACUAAAACAUAGGGAGAUAAGCAUUAAGUUCAAUUUCCUCCCUCAGCACUCAGUUCUUCCUGAACAAAGUCAUUUCCUGAUCUAUCACAAGACAGGGUUCACCAGCCCACCCCAUUAAAUCUAUUUGUUUUUGCUGUAGAUUUCUAAUCCCAUUAAACAGGAGCAAAACAUUUGCUUUGCUUCCGAUGCAUUUCACGUCUUAUUUUAAUCACUACUUCCUUUGCCCAUCUUCCUGACUUGUGUCCUCCUCCCUAAUCCUUCAGCUUCCUCAUGACCCCAGACACAGCUCAAAGCUAGGGCAAUGCCCACCCGCACCUCCACUUGCAGCUCUGUGUUACACCUAACUACUUCCCAACAGGAGUGGACCUCAGGGUUGAGAGCACAGGAACUCUGGGGAGUGAUUCUAUGGCCAGACGCACUGGCCUUUGGCAAGCUCCCUCACUCCCCUCUGGGAUAACAUUUUGAAGCAGGUGUUAAAAGUCAUCCCGAGUCCAUCUUUCUGAAAUAGGAGGUCAGAAGGGCAGCAAUCAAAGGCUGGCACCACCCUCUUCAUUCCCCUUGUUGGAUCUCGAUUGCUGCCAGAGCGGUGGGAGACAUUAGCUUCAGAGUUAUAGUCUGUGCAACUUGGCCUUCUAGUAAAUGAAUGCUUCAGAUCUGUCUGCUAGGCGAGUCAUUAAAAUCUCCUCGAGCAUUGUCUAGGGAAGGCCACGGCGAGCCAGCCACCAAUCUCACCCGUGGGGGUUUAGUAUUUACCCAGUCAGCAUUUCCAUGGUGCUGAGGGGCUGGUGAAGGAUUUCAGAAUGGUUCUUUCCACCUCCUUACUUUACAAAGUGAGUGAGGGAAAGUGGGCUGACCUCGAUCAAGUCACGUGUCUCCUACCUCAGCUUCCUCAUCCGUAAGGCCAGACACAGCCUUCACGUCUGAGAUGUGAAGAGAUGGCUUGAAGAUUCCUCUGUCUAACCCUACAAGUCCUUGGUUCUACCUCAGAACAGAACGGAAAAUGGAGUGAGUGAUCUUGCAGAACUGGCUGUGAUCUGCUAAACUCGAGCUAAGCGGCAGAGGUUUUGGGAACCUGACCUCAGAUCCUCCCACUUGAACAACAAGCACCUUUACCUACCUGCUGGACCAUCUCCUUACCUGCUGGACCAUCUCCUUACCUGCUGGACCAUCUCCUUACCUGCUGGACCAUCUCCUUACCUGCUGGACCAUCUCCUUACCUGCUGGACCAUCUCCUUACCUGCUGGACCAUCUCCUUACCUGCUGGACCAUCUCCUUACCUGCUGGACCAUCUCCUUACCUGCUGGACCAUCUCGUUACCUGCUGGACCAUCUCCUUACCUGCUGGACCAUCUCCUUACCUGCUGGACCAUCUCCUUACCUGCUGGACCAUCUCGUUACCUGCUGGACCAUCUCCUUACCUGCUGGACCAUCUCCCAACUUGGUUCUUUUGCAAGCUGUAUUUGGAUCCACGGACCUAAGACUUUUCUUCAGGAUCACAGGCUCAAGCAAUCUUGCCUGCACAAUCAACCCUAUCACCAAAAUGGAUCCAGUAGGAGCCUAAGAAUAUGUCUUAAGAACACAUUUCAUUAUAUUGUCUUAAUUAACACCCCGUGUCUUCCUUACCUGCCCCCAAUAAUAAAGGCCCCAUUCUCUUCUA